rnacentral:rRNA from 1 species
CCUACGGGACGCAGCAGUGAGGAAUAUUGGUCAAUGGUCGGGAGACUGAACCAUCCAAGCCGCGUGAGGGAUGAAGGUACAGAGUAUCGUAAACCUCUUUUGUCAGGGAACAAAGGCGGGGACGCGUCCCCGGAUGAGUGUACCUGAAGAAAAAGCAUCGGCUAACUCCGUGCCAGCAGCCGCGGUAAUACGGAGGAUGCGAGCGUUAUCCGGAUUUAUUGGGUUUAAAGGGUGCGCAGGCGGGCUGUUAAGUUAGCGGUAAAAGCCCGGGGCUCAACCCCGGCCCGCCGUUGAAACUGGCAGUCUCGAGUUGGAGAGAAGUAUGCGGAAUGCGCGGUGUAGCGGUGAAAUGCAUAGAUAUCGCGCAGAACUCCGAUUGCGAAGGCAGCAUGCCGGCUCCACACUGACGCUGAGGCACGAAAGCGUGGGUAUCGAACAGGAUUAGAUACCCUAGUAGUC